rnacentral:tRNA from 1 species
UUUCCCUCUACGCCGGCCUGUGCCGGCCUUCGGGGAAGGCCGAGGCGGCGGUCCUCCUGGUGCCCGGGGGGUUCGGUCCCCCCACGGAGGCC